AACCCAUGAUUUGGAAAACUCAUCAAAUAUUGCUUAAACCUCUUUCAAGCUUCAUAAAGUUGUUCUCCCAGAAUUGCUUGAAUUCAAAUAUCUUGUCUCUAAGCUC